GGGUUGUGAGGUUAAGCGACUAAGCGUACACGGUGGAUGCCCUGGCAGUCAGAGGCGAUGAAGGACGUGCUAAUCUGCGAUAAGCGUCGGUAAGGUGAUAUGAACCGUUAUAACCGGCGAUUUCCGAAUGGGGAAACCCAGUGUGUUUCGACACACUAUCAUUAACUGAAUCCAUAGGUUAAUGAGGCGAACCGGGGGAACUGAAACAUCUAAGUACCCCGAGGAAAAGAAAUCAACCGAGAUUCCCCCAGUAGCGGCGAGCGAACGGGGAGCAGCCCAGAGCCUGAAUCAGUGUGUGUGUUAGUGGAAGCGUCUGGAAAGGCGCGCGAUACAGGGUGACAGCCCCGUACACAAAAAUGCACAUAUUGUGAGCUCGAUGAGUAGGGCGGGACACGUGGUAUCCUGUCUGAAUAUGGGGGGACCAUCCUCCAAGGCUAAAUACUCCUGACUGACCGAUAGUGAACCAGUACCGUGAGGGAAAGGCGAAAAGAACCCCGGCGAGGGGAGUGAAAAAGAACCUGAAACCGUGUACGUACAAGCAGUGGGAGCACGCUUAGGCGUGUGACUGCGUACCUUUUGUAUAAUGGGUCAGCGACUUAUAUUCUGUAGCAAGGUUAACCGAAUAGGGGAGCCGAAGGGAAACCGAGUCUUAACUGGGCGUUAAGUUGCAGGGUAUAGACCCGAAACCCGGUGAUCUAGCCAUGGGCAGGUUGAAGGUUGGGUAACACUAACUGGAGGACCGAACCGACUAAUGUUGAAAAAUUAGCGGAUGACUUGUGGCUGGGGGUGAAAGGCCAAUCAAACCGGGAGAUAGCUGGUUCUCCCCGAAAGCUAUUUAGGUAGCGCCUCGUGAAUUCAUCUCCGGGGGUAGAGCACUGUUUCGGCAAGGGGGUCAUCCCGACUUACCAACCCGAUGCAAACUGCGAAUACCGGAGAAUGUUAUCACGGGAGACACACGGCGGGUGCUAACGUCCGUCGUGAAGAGGGAAACAACCCAGACCGCCAGCUAAGGUCCCAAAGUCAUGGUUAAGUGGGAAACGAUGUGGGAAGGCCCAGACAGCCAGGAUGUUGGCUUAGAAGCAGCCAUCAUUUAAAGAAAGCGUAAUAGCUCACUGGUCGAGUCGGCCUGCGCGGAAGAUGUAACGGGGCUAAACCAUGCACCGAAGCUGCGGCAGCGACGCUUAUGCGUUGUUGGGUAGGGGAGCGUUCUGUAAGCCUGUGAAGGUGUGCUGUGAGGCAUGCUGGAGGUAUCAGAAGUGCGAAUGCUGACAUAAGUAACGAUAAAGCGGGUGAAAAGCCCGCUCGCCGGAAGACCAAGGGUUCCUGUCCAACGUUAAUCGGGGCAGGGUGAGUCGACCCCUAAGGCGAGGCCGAAAGGCGUAGUCGAUGGGAAACAGGUUAAUAUUCCUGUACUUGGUGUUACUGCGAAGGGGGGACGGAGAAGGCUAUGUUGGCCGGGCGACGGUUGUCCCGGUUUAAGCGUGUAGGCUGGUUUUCCAGGCAAAUCCGGAAAAUCAAGGCUGAGGCGUGAUGACGAGGCACUACGGUGCUGAAGCAACAAAUGCCCUGCUUCCAGGAAAAGCCUCUAAGCAUCAGGUAACAUCAAAUCGUACCCCAAACCGACACAGGUGGUCAGGUAGAGAAUACCAAGGCGCUUGAGAGAACUCGGGUGAAGGAACUAGGCAAAAUGGUGCCGUAACUUCGGGAGAAGGCACGCUGAUAUGUAGGUGAAGUCCCUUGCGGAUGGAGCUGAAAUCAGUCGAAGAUACCAGCUGGCUGCAACUGUUUAUUAAAAACACAGCACUGUGCAAACACGAAAGUGGACGUAUACGGUGUGACGCCUGCCCGGUGCCGGAAGGUUAAUUGAUGGGGUCAGCGCAAGCGAAGCUCUUGAUCGAAGCCCCGGUAAACGGCGGCCGUAACUAUAACGGUCCUAAGGUAGCGAAAUUCCUUGUCGGGUAAGUUCCGACCUGCACGAAUGGCGUAAUGAUGGCCAGGCUGUCUCCACCCGAGACUCAGUGAAAUUGAACUCGCUGUGAAGAUGCAGUGUACCCGCGGCAAGACGGAAAGACCCCGUGAACCUUUACUAUAGCUUGACACUGAACAUUGAGCCUUGAUGUGUAGGAUAGGUGGGAGGCUUUGAAGUGUGGACGCCAGUCUGCAUGGAGCCGACCUUGAAAUACCACCCUUUAAUGUUUGAUGUUCUAACGUUGACCCCUAAUCGGGGUUGCGGACAGUGUCUGGUGGGUAGUUUGACUGGGGCGGUCUCCUCCUAAAGAGUAACGGAGGAGCACGAAGGUUGGCUAAUCCUGGUCGGACAUCAGGAGGUUAGUGCAAUGGCAUAAGCCAGCUUGACUGCGAGCGUGACGGCGCGAGCAGGUGCGAAAGCAGGUCAUAGUGAUCCGGUGGUUCUGAAUGGAAGGGCCAUCGCUCAACGGAUAAAAGGUACUCCGGGGAUAACAGGCUGAUACCGCCCAAGAGUUCAUAUCGACGGCGGUGUUUGGCACCUCGAUGUCGGCUCAUCACAUCCUGGGGCUGAAGUAGGUCCCAAGGGUAUGGCUGUUCGCCAUUUAAAGUGGUACGCGAGCUGGGUUUAGAACGUCGUGAGACAGUUCGGUCCCUAUCUGCCGUGGGCGCUGGAGAACUGAGGGGGGCUGCUCCUAGUACGAGAGGACCGGAGUGGACGCAUCACUGGUGUUCGGGUUGUCAUGCCAAUGGCACUGCCCGGUAGCUAAAUGCGGAAGAGAUAAGUGCUGAAAGCAUCUAAGCACGAAACUUGCCCCGAGAUGAGUUCUCCCUGACUCCUUGAGAGUCCUGAAGGAACGUUGAAGACGACGACGUUGAUAGGCCGGGUGUGUAAGCGCAGCGAUGCGUUGAGCUAACCGGUACUAAUGAACCGUGAGGCUUAACCUUACAACGCCGAAGCUGUU
rnacentral:rRNA from 1 species